UUGAAAAGUAUCGGUUUCAGUAUUGGUAUCGGCGAUACUGGCCCGUAUUUACUUGGUAUCGGAUCGAUACCAAAAUAUGCAGUAUCGCACACCACUAAAUCUUGAAUCUUACUAUUCACAUGUGCUAUGUUGUGCCAAAUUAGACUGCACAGAUUUCCGCUGGUUUGGGAUGCGCGAAGUAGUGUCUUUGUUUCGCGAGAAGCAAAAAGAGUGAAAAUUAGUAUCGUUACAUUCAGUUUGAGGGCUACGACAAAAAAUUAUAUAUUUGUUUUCACGUGGUAUCGGACGUGUUGUGCUGGGGACACUGACACCAAGACCCAAACCCCAUCUACUGGCAGCGGGCAAUGGUGCUGCUGGUGGCGGCUGCUGGAGCUGUUCGCAACGCCCCCGGGACACAUUCUCCAAUUCCCAGUAACAUAAAUGUUCAUGUUCAUCGUUCUAAAAUAAAUGUUUUUCUGGUUCGAAGUGAUCUUGUAUUGUUAUUUAGACAUUUUUUUUAUUUUAUUUUAGAACAAAACAAGGUAAUAAGCAUUUGGUGUUUGCAAAAAAUGAUAAACCUGAUAUGGCACUAUAUGACAUUUAGUGUACUUCUGCAAAAAAAUAGUAUUUGAUCAGAAUGAAUGUUGGUGCCGAUGUUUGGACCAUCUAAAGGCCUAAUUAUAAUAACAAUCAAAUAUUACUUCAAAUGUUUUUUAUGGAAAAUAUUUAAGUUUUUAGUUUUUUUUCUGUCAAAAAAACAGGGCGCUCAUGUACCUAAACUGGGAUUUAAAGGGUUAAAACAAUGAAAAUAUAAUUAAAACUUGAUAUGAAUAUUUUAAGCAGAAGUAGUUUUAAAAGACUGACUCAUUUAAAGUGGAAAAAAAUAUUAAUAUAUAACAUUUUUAGAGCACUUUUUGGGGCGAGACCAUUUUUGGUCCCGAGGAUCACGAAAGGAUGGAUUUUUUAAAUUGUGCUCCUGCACAAAAAAUAAUAAUGGAUCAAAAUGAAUGUUGGUGCCAAUGUUUGGACCAUCUAAAGGCCUAAUUAUAAUAACAAUCAAAUAUUACUUCAAAUGUUUUUUAUGGAAAAUAUUUAAGUUUUUAGUUUUUUUCUGUCAAAAAAAACAGGGCGCUCAUGUACCCAAACUGGGAUUUAAAGGGUUAAAACAAUGAAAAUAUAAUUAAAACUUGAUAUGAAUAUUUUAAGCAGAAGUAGUUUUAAAAGACUGACUCAUUUAAAGUGGAAAAAAAUAUUAAUAUAUAACAUUUUUAGAGCACUUUUUGGGGCGGUCCCGAGGAUCACGAAAGGAUGGAUUUUUUAAAUUGUGCUCCUGCACAAAAAAAUAAUGGAUCAAAAUGAAUGUUGGUGCCAAUGUUUGGACCAUCUAAAGGCCUAAUUAUAAUAACAAUCAAAUAUUACUUCAAAUGUUUUUUAUGGAAAAUAUUUAAGUUUUUAGUUUUUUUCUGUCAAAAAAACAGGGCGCUCAUGUACCUAAACUGGGAUUUAAAGGGUUAAAACAAUGAAAAUAUAAUUAAAACCUGAUAUGAAUAUUUUAAGCAGAAGUAGUUUUAAAAGACUGACUCAUUUAAAGUGGAAAAAAAUAUUAAUAUAUAACAUUUUUAGAGCACUUUUUGGGGCGGGACCAUUUUUGGUCCCGAGGAUCACGAAAGGAUGGAUUUUUUUAAAUUGUGCUCCUGCACAAAAAAUAAUAAUGGAUCAAAAUGAAUGUUGGUGCCAAUCUUUGGACCAUCUAAAGGCCUAUACACUCUAAAAAAUGAAACAUGGGCUUUUUAAAAAUUAAUUCAUAGUUUUAUGUUCAAUAUACUUAAAAUUGUUAAUCUUAUGUGUGUAAUUAAUAUUUUUAAAUUUGAUUUAAUUAAUUCUAAACCGUUUUAAUGUUAAAUAAUAGUGAUAUUUUCAAUUUAUUGAACACAUUUAAUUAAAUCCAAAGAGCCCUUUCCACAUCCUUUCUGAGCAUGCGCAGAGAAUGAAAAAAAUCUUCUGGCAUACGCAUUCACCUUCUUCAUCUAUGCCACAGUGUGCUUUGGCCACGAAAGAGGGAUUAAUCACGAUUCAUCCGCUGGAGUUAAGGUUGCUGCUUGUGGAAUUUGGAGCUGUGGAGAUUUGAGCUGUGCUCCAAAAGUGCAUGUAAAGAGUUCCCGAAUCGAAGUGAAGUGUGAAUGCAUCCUUCAAGCUGUGAUUAUAUACCUGAAUGAGAAGCCUCAAAAUAUCAUCAAAGAAUACAUGGAUUUCGACGUGAUGGAAGCUGAAGAGCUUGAAAGGAUUGAUUUGGGGUGUUUCUAAAAUAAUCCACGAAGGAGCACAGCCUGAUGACUCCCUUGAAGAUGUUGGCAUCAUUAUCGAGAGAUGCACCGUCUUGCAGGAUCUUCACGAUGUGGCGAGCAGGUGUGCACCUUUGUUUGGGCUAAUUAACUGCCUCAAUCUGAGUUACCCAAAGCCACUUCGCUACACAUUUGAGUUCUUCCAGAAGGUGCUCAUGGGACUGGAAGACAAAAAACUGUCUAACAAAAUACAAGUGCUGAAGAGCAAACUCUGCCAAAAGGAGACGCAAUGACUCUUCCAGAUCGAAAUGUCCCCCAAAAUAAGUGCUCUGUUUUCUUGCUGACUAAAAGUUUUACUGUUUAAAAGUUUAUUUAUAUAUAUAUAUAUAUAUACACACAUACAUACACACACACACACACACACGUGUGUGUGUAUAUAUGUGUAUAUGUAUAUAUGUGUAUAUAUAUGUUGAUCCUUGUUUGUAAAUAUUUUGUCAUAGCUUUUAAUAUUUAAGAGAUUUACUGAAUGCCAUUUUUCUUUUGAUUGUGGAAAAGAAAACAUAAUUCAGAAACAGAGUUUUUUGAACUGGGGACAAAAUUACCCAGAUGGAUAUAUUUUCUUGUUUCAUUUGUUUCACAACAUUUUCUUCAGUUUGAGUUGCUGUGGUAAUUCUGCAGACUGUAGCCAUUGCAGACCUACAACUGUAGAUGCUGAAAUCAUUCUGGCAGGUUUGACAUCCUACUCCUCACUACACUUUCACUUAGUUGAAACUGGAAAGUUGUUUCAGAUGUUUACAUUUUGUUUUACACACUUCAUUUAAUGUUGCAUUAUGCUGUGUUGUUUCCCUGUUUAAGCUUUGCCUCAUUAAAGGCUUUUGUUCAAGUUGUUAAAGCAACACAAUUUUUUUUUGUUUUGUUUUUUUUGUUUUUGUAUUUACACUACAUAUUACCUCUGGUGUACCAGGUUUCCAUUGUAGGUCAAGGAUCUUGAGUGUUAUAAAUGUUAAAGUGUAUGUGCAAACAAUUGUGAAAAGGUUCUAAGGUUGUCACCUGUACUCAAGUUAAGUGCUGGAUUUUUGGUCUUAGCAUUUAAUUAAGAAUAUUUUGAGAUUUGCUAUAUGCAUUUUUUUUUUUUUAAUUGUAAAAUUGUGAUUUUUAUUAUAAAAUUUAUUAUAUAAUAGAAAACUUAUAAUUCUGAAUCAGAUUUUUGGAACUGGGAACUAAAUUGUCCAGAUUUACCUUUUUGUGUCACUUAAAUAUUUUCUGUAAUUGCAUUAUACAGUGAUUUAUAAGUUGCUGUGGUAAAUCUGCAGAUCUGACUAGAAUCACAAGUUGUUGUAUUGAAUUUGACAUCUUACGGCACACUACAAUGUCACUUUGUUGAAACUCGAAAGUUGUUUCCAAUGUUUAAAUUUUGGUCAUGCACUUUAAGCAUUUAAUAUUGCCUUAUGCGGUGUUGUUCCCUGUAGAAGCUUUGCCUUGUUAAGGCUUACCGUAAAUAAAGUUGUUGAUGUAGCACCCUUUUUUGCAUUUACACUUUAUGUAAGCUUUAGUGUAAGAGUUUUCUAUUGAAGUGCAAGGAUCUUGAAUGUUACAAAUGUUAACGUGUGAACAAGUGCAAAAAGGUUAUUGAGUUGUCACCUGUACUCUGUAGUUAAGUGUUAGACCUUUGCUGAAGACCUCUGAAAGGUCCAAACACCUAAUUACAAUGUAUAGAUGACAACUCAGGAACCUUUCUAGACUUGUUUUGUUGAUACCUAAACAUUUAGCAUAUAGAUGAAACUAUUCAUUAAAUCAUUAUUAAUCAAAUUAAUUAGGUCCAAAACACGAUCUAAAUGGUGCCAUUAAAUUAAAAUUAAUAUUGUCAAUUGAACCUAAAGCAAUACAGUUAAUAAAAUGAACAAAGUGUUUAAAUUCUAAUUAAUAGUGUUAAAUAGUAACAAUGAAAGGAAAGCUGUUGCUUUUAUAGAACAAUUUCACUUCUGAUAUACAUCACCAUUGAAAUUGCAGAUAACAACCAUAUUGAUUUGUUUAAUUGACCAGGUUUUGUGGAAAAGAUUGCCUUAACUUUGUCAAUUAAAUCCAACGUUUUAUUUCUUAGAGUGUAAUUAUAAUAACAAUCAAAUAUUACUUCAAAUGUUUUUUAUGGAAAAUAUUUAAGUUUUUAGUUUUUUUUCUGUCAAAAAAAUAGGGCGCUCAUGUACCCAAACUGGGAUUUAAAGAGUUAAAACAAUGAAAAUAUAAUUAAAACUUGUGGGACGAUUCCGUUUGUACGGCAACUCUACGAACUAACCCUUAUGAAUAAAAUAAAGUUCAACGUCAGUA